rnacentral:rRNA from 1 species
AAUGAACGCUGGCGGCGUGCUUAACACAUGCAAGUCGAACGAGGCGGAGGGGGGCAACUCCCUCCAGUCGAGUGGCGGACGGGUGAGUAACACGUGGGUAACCUGCCCGGAAGUGGGGAAUACCUCGGGGAAACUCGAGCUAAUACCGCAUGACAUCUUCGGAACGGAAGUUCUGACGAUCAAAGCGGGGUCGCAAGAUCUCGCGCUACCGGAUGGGCCCGCGCCCGAUUAGCUAGUUGGUGAGGUAACGGCUCACCAAGGCUUCGAUCGGUAACCGGCCUGAGAGGGCGAUCGGUCACACCGGAACUGAGACACGGUCCGGACUCCUACGGGAGGCAGCAGUGGGGAAUCUUGCGCAAUGGGCGAAAGCCUGACGCAGCAACGCCGCGUGGAGGAUGAAGGCCUUUGGGUUGUAAACUCCUGU